GAAACUUCAAACAGUUUUCUUCAACAUGUCGGUCGACUUAAAUCAAGUUGAAAGAAGAACUUGAGUCUUUGAUGUGCUUAUUGUGAAUGUAGUCCAAUACGAUCUAAUAUAAACCGAUAUACAGCAGGCUGGGACAAGGUGGUGUUUUAACAGAGGGGUGGAACAUCGAAAUAGAGAUCAAUAAUUAUCUAGGUGGUGUACACUAAAAAUGUAGCAAAGUAUGUUAGCGAUGUGAACACCUCAAAUGAGAAGUGCUAUCGGUAGAUAUAAUCUGAUGUUUACUAACCCAAGCUUACCUUCUUCCAUUGCACACCUAUCAAUAAACAUAUGUUUCAAGAUGACCGGAGUGUUGUGUUGACAGGCAUUAAACCCAAUUCUAUUCCAGUGAUUCAUUAUGGAACUUCACAUAACUAAUAUUAUAUUUAUUGUAUAUCGAUAUAUUGGGAUGGACAUACGCCUUGUUCUAGAAAACGUAUACGGUCAUGGUACAAAAUAGAAAUAUUUGAAAUACAAAGGAAUAUGAAUGACAAAUCACCACCUGUUAACCAAUUUCUAAAGUUCCCAUCCUCAAUGCGAUUUGAUUCUUUUCUAUACCAGUGAAUGUUACCUAACGAAUUUGUUUGUUGUACUUCCAGCAGAUAGGUGACACACACGAUUUACAACAAACAGUUCAGAUAAAUUGGAUUUUAAGGUUAACAAAAGAAAGUAAAAGAAGGUCGGUAAUCCGAUAAACACAUUGUUAAAAAGAUGAAAGAUAUAUUGUAAGCACAGGUAGAUACCGUAAAGUAAAAGUACGUGUAUAUUGGUAUAAA